rnacentral:rRNA from 1 species
UGAGGAAUAUUGGUCAAUGGGCGUAAGCCUGAACCAGCCAUCCCGCGUGCAGGAAGACGGCGCUAUGCGUUGUAAACUGCUUUUCCAGGGGAAGAAAACUCUCGUCGUGACGAGACUUGCCGGUACCUUGGGAAUAAGCAUCGGCUAACUCCGUGCCAGCAGCCGCGGUAAUACGGAGGAUGCGAGCGUUAUCCGGAUUUAUUGGGUUUAAAGGGUGCGUAGGCGGAUUAAUAAGUCAGUGGUGAAAACCUGCAGCUUAACUGUAGAACUGCCAUUGAUACUGUUAGUCUUGAGUACGGUCAAGGUAGGCGGAAUGUGUAAUGUAGCGGUGAAAUGCUUAGAUAUUACACAGAACACCGAUUGCGAAGGCAGCUUACUGGGCCAUUACUGACGCUGAUGCACGAAAGCGUGGGGAGCGAACAGG